rnacentral:rRNA from 1 species
CCUACGGGAGGCAGCAGUGAGGAAUAUUGGUCAAUGGACGAGAGUCUGAACCAGCCAAGUAGCGUGAAGGAUGACUGCCCUAUGGGUUGUAAACUUCUUUUAUAUGGGAAUAAAAUGUUCCACGUGUGGGAUUUUGUAUGUACCAUAUGAAUAAGGAUCGGCUAACUCCGUGCCAGCAGCCGCGGUAAUACGGAGGAUCCGAGCGUUAUCCGGAUUUAUUGGGUUUAAAGGGAGCGUAGGUGGAUUGUUAAGUCAGUUGUGAAAGUUUGCGGCUCAACCGUAAAAUUGCAGUUGAAACUGGCAGUCUAGAGUACAGUAGAGGUGGGCGGAAUUCGUGGUGUAGCGGUGAAAUGCUUAGAUAUCACGAAGAACUCCGAUUGCGAAGGUAGCUCACUAGACUGCAACUGACACUGAGGCUCGAAAGUGUGGGUAUCAAACAGGAUUAGAUACCCCAGUAGUC